ensembl:lncRNA
CUGGGUAUUUAAGAAGUAUUUUGGGGAGACAAUUUGGAGAAACACGAAUAAAACAUGAAACAUCGAGACAAAUUAUUUGAGUUUGAGGGGAUUAUCAUAAUUAUUAGGUUUUGUUUUUGUAGUAAACUUGGGUUAAGGGGAUUUCCAUGUUCCCAGAGACAUGAUAUCUUAAAGGGGUACACUCACAUAUGGAAUAUUAGGAGUUUUAUUUUCUGAGUUUUAAUUACACAAGUGAAUUUUUUAAAGAUAAAGGGUUCUUUAAUAUGUCUAAUAUGGUAUGGAACACAAAUGUAGGGGGAUGGUGUAACCUUUGACCUGCUUUCAUGGCUCUCUCGGGUGGUCUGAUCAGCCACAAGGGGGUGCCAUUUGAAUAAUGAAUUUGUGGUCAUGGGUAAUACUGUUUAAAAAAUUUUUUUAAAUGUUUUGUAACUUAAUUAUAGUGGAGUUUAAUUAACCUAUAUAAGGACUUUAGAAAUUGCCACCAUAGACAUGUUUUUCUAAAAAGAAAAAAAAUCCAUGAGUUUAGAUAAAGCCAAACAGUGAGACAUUUAGUUAAAAUGUGGAAACAUGAGAAAAAGAGCUACAGACAGAUAGGGGAAAAGGCAGACAGAAGAGCCCUCCCCCGCACUGCAGAGACCUUGAAGAAGUUUUAGAAGGGGAGCCAGGACAGGCAAAGAUAACAGAAUGUGUAGAUAACAGUUACUGAGUGGAGACAAAAGGGAGAAUUGGACAUGUGGAAAAUGAAAGGGGCGCUCCUACAUGAUAAUGUCAGAACAGAAGGAUAAUAUACUAAUCUUACCAAAGUCAUUAUUUAGAGUAGGUAGGUAAGGUUGGUAAGGGGGAUGGGUAAAUUGUGGUCUAGGAUAGGAUGGGGCCUAUUGGAUAAGAAACUAAUAUUUUUUAAAAAAUGUAGCUAACAAAUGGUCAUAGAAGUUAAAGAUAUAAUCAGAUAAAACAUAUGAGAAACUGUUUGUUAACCAAGCCUGUAUGUCCAGGAUUUUAUGCAUUACAGGUGAACUACAGGUGAAGUCACUCAAUCCAGUCCCAGAGGCUUGUUGGGGGGACCAUACCAAGGACUCCUGGUGACAGCUAGCUGAAAGAGCUACCCGGAUUCAUAUCGCACGGCGGGAGGGUAAGACACACUGACACUGUCGAACAAUAAACAGUGUUCGAGAGGAGAACUGGAAUUAACAGAAUUCCGGGGGCCAUCUCUCGAAUGAAGUAACCCUCCCUGUCCUGUCACCCCUGUUUUUGUUCAUAGAAGUGAAGAUGUGUCUGGCUCUUGCUAAGUGAUGUGUUCUCGGGGAGAGGGUGGGGCUUCACAUGGAAGCUGUUCGUCUGAGCUGUCUUAUCGUGGGUGACAUAUUCCUGAUACAGCACGUCCUACUUGAGUAUGCGGAGAGUGGUAAUUUGACCCAUGGUUUAGACGAUGAGGAUUUUGUUCUAAAAUAAGCAUAAGAGAUCCCUAGAUCUGGGUAGACAGGAAGUUAGAGUAGAGGUUGGGAAGGAUCUCUCAAUGGAGUUUUAUGUAGACCAAAAUAAAGUCUCUAACUACAUGGCAGUCUAGGACACUGAGCCAUUAUGGCAUAUAUCGGUGCAGGUUCCCAUAUUGAUCGUGG